rnacentral:rRNA from 1 species
AGAGUUUGAUCCUGGCUCAGGAUGAACGCUGGCGGCGUGCUUAACACAUGCAAGUCGAACGAACCUUCGGGUUAGUGGCGGACGGGUGAGUAACGCGUGGGAAUCUGCCCUCAGGAGGGGGAUAACGGCUGGAAACGGCCGCUAAUACCCCAUAUGCCGAGAGGUGAAAUGAAUUUCGCCUGAGGAUGAGCCCGCGUCUGAUUAGCUUGUUGGUGAGGUAAUGGCUCACCAAGGCUUCGAUCAGUAGCUGGUCUGAGAGGAUGAUCAGCCACACUGGGACUGAGACACGGCCCAGACUCCUACGGGAGGCAGCAGUGGGGAAUUUUCCGCAAUGGGCGAAAGCCUGACGGAGCAACGCCGCGUGAGGGACGAAGGCCUCUGGGCUGUAAACCUCUUUUCUCAAGGAAGAAGAUCUGACGGUACUUGAGGAAUAAGCCACGGCUAAUUCCGUGCCAGCAGCCGCGGUAAUACGGGAGUGGCAAGCGUUAUCCGGAAUUAUUGGGCGUAAAGCGUCCGCAGGCGGCCUUUCAAGUCUGCUGUUAAAACGUGGAGCUUAACUCCAUCAAGGCAGUGGAAACUGUUGGGCUUGAGUGUGGUAGGGGCAGAGGGAAUUCCCGGUGUAGCGGUGAAAUGCGUAGAUAUCGGGAAGAACACCAGUGGCGAAGGCGCUCUGCUGGGCCAUAACUGACGCUCAUGGACGAAAGCCAGGGGAGCGAAAGGGAUUAGAUACCCCUGUAGUCCUGGCCGUAAACGAUGAACACUAGGUGUCGGGGGAAUCGACCCCCUCGGUGUCGUAGCCAACGCGUUAAGUGUUCCGCCUGGGGAGUACGCACGCAAGUGUGAAACUCAAAGGAAUUGACGGGGGCCCGCACAAGCGGUGGAGUAUGUGGUUUAAUUCGAUGCAACGCGAAGAACCUUACCAGGGUUUGACAUCCUGCGAACCUCUAAGAAAUUGGAGGGUGCCUUCGGGAACGCAGUGACAGGUGGUGCAUGGCUGUCGUCAGCUCGUGUCGUGAGAUGUUGGGUUAAGUCCCGCAACGAGCGCAACCCACGUUUUUAGUUGCCAGCAUUCAGUUGGGCACUCUAGAGAGACCGCCGGUGAUAAACCGGAGGAAGGUGUGGAUGACGUCAAGUCAUCAUGCCCCUUACAUCCUGGGCUACACACGUACUACAAUGCUACGGACAAAGGGCAGCAAACUCGCGAGAGCAAGCAAAUCCCAUAAACCGUGGCUCAGUUCAGAUCGUAGGCUGCAACUCGCCUACGUGAAGGAGGAAUCGCUAGUAAUCGCAGGUCAGCAUACUGCGGUGAAUACGUUCCCGGGCCUUGUACACACCGCCCGUCACACCAUGGAAGUUGGCCACGCCCGAAGUCGUUACUCCAACCCUUGUGGAGGAGGACGCCGAAGGUGGGGCUGAUGACUGGGGUGAAGUCGUAACAAGGUAGCCGUACCGGAAGGUGCGGCUG